CAACUUUCAACAACGGAUCUCUUGGUUCUGGCAUCGAUGAAGAACGCAGCGAAAUGCGAUACGUAGUGUGAAUUGCAGAAUUCAGUGAAUCAUCGAAUCUUUGAACGCACAUUGCGCCCUUUGGUAUUCCAAAGGGCAUGCCUGUUCGAGCGUCAUUUGUACCCUCAAGCUUUGCUUGGUGUUGGGCGUUUUUGUCUUUGGCCCGCCAAAGACUCGCCUUAAAAUGAUUGGCAGCCGGCCUACUGGUUUCGCAGCGCAGCACAUUUUUGCGCUUGCAAUCAGCAAAAGAGGACGGCAAUCCAUCAAGACUCCUUCUCAC
rnacentral:rRNA from 1 species